CCUUGGCCUAUCCAGUAGCUGGGUGCUGCUGGAAGUUGCUGGCCCCGCCUUCUCCAGCAUGGAGAGGAAAGGUGGAUACGGUGGCUCCAGUGGUCCAAAUCCUGUCAUUGUCUCCGUUACCUAGCCUCUGUGCCCUCCAGGACAGCCUCAGUACCAGUGCAGAGGAGCUUUGGAGAGGGUAGUGGUGAGGAGAAUGCUUCUGACUCUAGAUACCAGUGAAGCCACUGUCAAGAGCCUUUCUAGGGCUGGCAGGAAAAUGCAGCAAUGAGGGAAGAAUAAUGUCUCAAGACAAAGAGGUUAUAAUGGCCAUUAGAAAAAAAGUUUGCCCUCUGCCAGGAGGAAUCUAAGGGAUAUGGUAGACCAUUAUCAUCACAAGUUUUAUAAUUCAAGAAGCAUUCACUGAGCACUUAUGUACAAGGCAUGGUGCUGGGCAACUUGGAGGAGAUUCAAGAAACUUCCCAUCUAAUGGAAAUAAGGAAAGGAGGAGCAAAGUGGGCAGAGUCAGUGUAUCAUGCACAAAGAAGAUGUGAAGACUAUGA